rnacentral:rRNA from 1 species
GAUGAACGCUGGCGGCGUGCCUAAUACAUGCAAGUCGAGCGAACUGAUUAGAAGCUUGCUUCUAUGACGUUAGCGGCGGACGGGUGAGUAACACGUGGGCAACCUGCCUGUAAGACUGGGAUAACUUCGGGAAACCGAAGCUAAUACCGGAUAGGUUCUUCUCCUGCAUGGGAGAUGAUUGAAAGAUGGUUUAGGCUAUCACUUACAGAUGGGCCCGCGGUGCAUUAGCUAGUUGGUGAGGUAACGGCUCACCAAGGCAGCGAUGCAUAGCCGACCUGAGAGGGUGAUAGGGCGCACUGGGACUGAGACACGGCCCAGAGUCCUACGGGAGGAAGGGGGAGGGCAUCAGCCGCACUGGACGAAAGGCUGACGGAGCAACGCCGCAAGAGUGAUGAAGGCUUUCGGGUCGUAGAACUCUAUUGUUAGGGAAGAACAAGUACGAGAGUAACUGCUCGUACCUUGACGGUAUCUAGCCAGAAAGCCACGGCUAACUACGUGCCAGCCGCCGCAGUAAGAC